rnacentral:rRNA from 1 species
GAUGAACGCUGGCGGCGUGCCUAAUACAUGCAAGUCGAACGAACAGACGAGGUGCUUGCUCCUCUGACGUUAGCGGCGGACGGGUGAGUAACACGUGGAUAACCUACCUAUAAGACUGGGAUAACUUCGGGAAACCGGAGCUAAUACCUGAUAAUAGAUUGAACCGCAUGGUUCAAUAGUGAAAGACGGUUUUGCUGUCACUUAUAGAUGGAUCCGCGCCGCAUUAUCUAGUUGUUAAGGUAACGGUUUACCAAGGCAACGAUGGGUAGCCGACCCGCGAGGGUGAGCGGCCACGCUGGAAUUGAGACACGGUCCAGGCCCCUACGGGAGGCAGCAGUAGGGAUGCUUCCGCAAUGGGCGAAAGCCUGACGGAGCAACGCCGCGUGAGUGAGGAAGGUCUUCGGAUCGUAAAACUCUGUUAUUAGGGAAGAACAAAUGUGUAAGUAACUAUGCGCGUCUUGACGGUACCUAAUCAGAAAGCCACGGCUAACUACGUG